AAGGUACACAUUUAGAAGAAAGAGCAGCAUCACGUCAUGAGAUAGAACUUCUUAUUGUAGCCGAUUAUAGUGCAUAUAAAAACUGGUAUGAUAAAACGCCUACAACUGACACAUCACAAAACAGAGAAAGCGCUGCAAAGAGUAACCUGAAAGCUUAUAUCGGGAGUCUUAUAAAAUCGAGUAAUAUUGUUUAUAAAAGCCUGGAGCCAAACAAUAUAUUUGUACAGAUUAAACUCGUUGAUGUUGUCGUCAU